GCAGUAGCUCAGUGCUAGAGCAUUUGUUUUGCAUGCAGAUGAUCCCACGUUCAAUCCCUGGAAUCUAUA